GCAUUGGUGGUUCAAUGGUAGCAUUCCUGUUUACUUUGUAGGAGAUCUGGGUUCAAUUCCCAGCCAUUGCA
rfam:Alligator mississippiensis ScZkoYb_8, whole genome shotgun sequence.